rnacentral:rRNA from 1 species
AGAGUUUGAUCAUGGCUCAGAUUGAACGCUGGCGGCAGGCCUAACACAUGCAAGUCGAGCGGAUGAAGGGAGCUUGCUCCUGGAUUCAGCGGCGGACGGGUGAGUAAUGCCUAGGAAUCUGCCUGGUAGUGGGGGAUAACGUCCGGAAACGGGCGCUAAUACCGCAUACGUCCUGAGGGAGAAAGUGGGGGAUCUUCGGACCUCACGCUAUCAGAUGAGCCUAGGUCGGAUUAGCUAGUUGGUGGGGUAAAGGCCUACCAAGGCGACGAUCCGUAACUGGUCUGAGAGGAUGAUCAGUCACACUGGAACUGAGACACGGUCCAGACUCCUACGGGAGGCAGCAGUGGGGAAUAUUGGACAAUGGGCGAAAGCCUGAUCCAGCCAUGCCGCGUGUGUGAAGAAGGUCUUCGGAUUGUAAAGCACUUUAAGUUGGGAGGAAGGGCAGUAAGUUAAUACCUUGCUGUUUUGACGUUACCAACAGAAUAAGCACCGGCUAACUUCGUGCCAGCAGCCGCGGUAAUACGAAGGGUGCAAGCGUUAAUCGGAAUUACUGGGCGUAAAGCGCGCGUAGGUGGUUCAGCAAGUUGGAUGUGAAAUCCCCGGGCUCAACCUGGGAACUGCAUCCAAAACUACUGAGCUAGAGUACGGUAGAGGGUGGUGGAAUUUCCUGUGUAGCGGUGAAAUGCGUAGAUAUAGGAAGGAACACCAGUGGCGAAGGCGACCACCUGGACUGAUACUGACACUGAGGUGCGAAAGCGUGGGGACAAACAGGAUUAGAUACCCUGGUAGUCCACGCCGUAAACGAUGUCGACUAGCCGUUGGGAUCCUUGAGAUCUUAGUGGCGCAGCUAACGCGAUAAGUCGACCGCCUGGGGAGUACGGCCGCAAGGUUAAAACUCAAAUGAAUUGACGGGGGCCCGCACAAGCGGUGGAGCAUGUGGUUUAAUUCGAAGCAACGCGAAGAACCUUACCUGGCCUUGACAUGCUGAGAACUUUCCAGAGAUGGAUUGGUGCCUUCGGGAACUCAGACACAGGUGCUGCAUGGCUGUCGUCAGCUCGUGUCGUGAGAUGUUGGGUUAAGUCCCGUAACGAGCGCAACCCUUGUCCUUAGUUACCAGCACCUCGGGUGGGCACUCUAAGGAGACUGCCGGUGACAAACCGGAGGAAGGUGGGGAUGACGUCAAGUCAUCAUGGCCCUUACGGCCAGGGCUACACACGUGCUACAAUGGUCGGUACAAAGGGUUGCCAAGCCGCGAGGUGGAGCUAAUCCCAUAAAACCGAUCGUAGUCCGGAUCGCAGUCUGCAACUCGACUGCGUGAAGUCGGAAUCGCUAGUAAUCGUGAAUCAGAAUGUCACGGUGAAUACGUUCCCGGGCCUUGUACACACCGCCCGUCACACCAUGGGAGUGGGUUGCUCCAGAAGUAGCUAGUCUAACCGCAAGGGGGACGGUUACCACGGAGUGAUUCAUGACUGGGGUGAAGUCGUAACAAGGUAGCCGUAGGGGAACCUGCGGCUG